rnacentral:rRNA from 2 species
AAAGAUUAAGCCAUGCAUGUCUAAGUAUAAGCAAUUAUACCGCGAAACUGCGAAUGGCUCAUUAUAUAAGUUAUCGUUUAUUUGAUAAUACUUUACUACUUGGAUAACCGUGAUAAUUCUAGAGCUAAUACAUGCUGAAAAUCCCGACUUCGGAAGGGAUGUAUUUAUUAGAUUAAAAACCAAUGCCCCUCGGGGCUCUCUGGUGAAUCAUGAUAACUAGUCGAAUCGACAGGCCUUGUGCCGGCGAUGGCUCAUUCAAAUUUCUUCCCUAUCAACUUUCGAUGUUUGGGUAUUGGCCAAACAUGGUGG